AUGAGUGGCAGGUCAGUGGCAGGAGCUUGAGGGAGAGCGGAGUGAGGUCACAGAAGUUGCCAUGGGGAAGGAUGGGUAGCCACUGCAAGGUCCUGACUUAUGCCCACCACUGUGGCUUCUGAGAAAAAGAUAGACUGUCGGGCAGACGGGCACAGAAGAACAGGUCUAGGAACAAGGCAGUCGUAACUGUGGGAAAUGUUGAUCGGAAGCAUGAUAGAGCCUGCAUUGCUCUGCAGGCCACCUGGAGAGUUCUGGACAGAAUAUACCCUACAGGCCAAUGUACCUGUGACAGCUACCCUCCCACACCAGACUCAAACUGAAAUACUGAGUUGGCCUUCAGACUAGAACUUAUACCAUCAGCUUUCCUGAAUCUCCGGCUUACCAACUGUGGAUCUUGGGACUUCUGAGCCUCCAUAAUCAUGCCAGGUCACUGGUGACUUUCCCAAAAAACCUCUUCAAAAAAUCUGGGAGUCUGGAGAUCCCCAAGCUGGGCCUCCCGUUCUGCAGCCUUGGCAAGCCUCACCAUGUCCUUGAGUAAUGCCUGUCCCUGAGAACCAUCACCCCCAAGGUCCACUGAGCCAACCUGAACAGCAGGGGGCAAAGGAGUUAAGGGCCUGGCCCUGCCCUGGCUCUGCCUCUUAACCCCAAGUGCCUACUUGUCCUGUGAGCUAUACGCCCAUACUGCCUACCUCCCAGCUCCAACACAUGCAGUCCCUGGGCUUGUCACACCACAGACGUCCUGGACUCCCAGGACUCAUUUUUUAAGGCAUCUGAGUAUCCACAUUUCUCAGGAAUCAUUCUCAAAAAUCCCCAUUUCUCCCUAAUGAAUGCUCCUGGCAUCUACUGGUGGUCAUGAAAUGGGCCAAGUCACUGAAAGAACCAUUUGUCAACUCUGUACUGACAACAUCACUGGGGCUGCAGGUAAGUGGAUGCCAGACUCCGGGGUCUGGGGUCUGGCCCAGCUCUGCUGAGGACUCCGGAGGGGACCUUCUCUGUGUAUAUCAGAAGGUAUCUGAGUUUCAGUUCCCACAAAGGCAGAUGCCGAGACAAGGAUUUGCUUCAAGGCGUCUAUCUGGCAGGUGUUUGGGGGAGGCACAGUGAGUGAGGCAACAGAGGAGGACGGCUUGGGAUCCCAGAGAGCACUCGGGAACCGCAGAAAGUCUGGCUCCAGAGCCCGAGUGCAUGACAUGGCUGUGCCCCUGUCUCUUGGCCAGUUAAACUCACAUGAAGAUCCGAGAUAGAACGGUGAAAAGCUCUGACGCAGAGUCAGUGCUCUGGAAACAGCAGUUGCUAUGAUAAUAGUUAUGAGAACCCCUGUGAGGAUUAAAUAACACACUGAGAUAGCCCAGUCCUGCAUCGUCUC